rnacentral:rRNA from 1 species
CCUACGGGUGGCAGCAGUGAGGAAUAUUGGUCAAUGGCCGAGAGGCUGAACCAGCCAAGUCGCGUGAGGGAUGAAUGUCCUAUGGAUUGUAAACCUCUUUUGUCAGGGAGCAAAGUCCCCCACGUGUGGGGCUUGGAGAGUACCUGAAGAAAAAGCAUCGGCUAACUCCGUGCCAGCAGCCGCGGUAAUACGGAGGAUGCGAGCGUUAUCCGGAUUUAUUGGGUUUAAAGGGUGCGUAGGCGGAUUAGAAAGUCAGCGGUAAAAUCGUGGGGCUCAACUCCAUCCAGCCGUUGAAACUGAGUAUCUUGAGUGGGUGAGAAGUACGCGGAAUGCGUGGUGUAGCGGUGAAAUGCAUAGAUAUCACGCAGAACUCCGAUUGCGAAGGCAGCAUACCGGCGCCCGACUGACGCUGAAGCACGAAAGCGUGGGUAUCGAACAGGAUUAGAUACCCUUGUAGUC